AAUAACAGUUAGAAAUGACUGCUAAUACCGGAUAAUGUCUUCGGACCAAAGAUUUAUUGCCUUUAGAUGGGCCCGCGUUGGAUUAGAUAGUUGGUGGGGUAAUGGCCUACCAAGUCGACGAUCCAUAGCUGGUCUGAGAGGAUGAUCAGCCACACUGGGACUGAGACACGGCCCAGACUCCUACGGGAGGCAGCAGUGGGGAAUAUUGGACAAUGGGCGAAAGCCUGAUCCAGCAAUGCCGCGUGAGUGAUGAAGGCCUUAGGGUUGUAAAGCUCUUUUACCAGGGAUGAUAAUGACAGUACCUGGAGAAUAAGCUCCGGCUAACUCCGUGCCAGCAGCCGCGGUAAUACGGAGGGAGCUAGCGUUGUUCGGAAUUACUGGGCGUAAAGCGCACGUAGGCGGCUUUUCAAGUCAGGGGUGAAAUCCCGGGGCUCAACCCCGGAACUGCCCUUGAAACUGGAUGGCUAGAAUACUGGAGAGGUGAGUGGAAUUCCGAGUGUACAGGUGAAAUUCGUA
rnacentral:rRNA from 2 species